CACUUAACGACACACGGUGUAAAGUAACCUUAAAAGUCGGACCAAAAUUUAUGCCAGUAUCACGGAGCAGCAGCUGGUGGUGGUCCGGAGAUGAUAGACUGUUUGAUAGAUUACCUAAAGAUCUGGAUUGUGAACUAUUAUCACUUUGAUAUUGCAUGUGUCAGUAUACCCUAUGCCUGUUCAAGAUUUAAUGGAAAGGGCACCAAUGUUUUUGUCCAAUCUCGAACAUAGACAAAAAAUAGAUUUAUCCUGGCAGAGGCAAAAUUAUCCAACAUAAAAUAUACAUCAACGCCAUAGGUGUUCCUCAUGGGGUUCCUAAUCAAUACAAAUUAGCUGACCAAGUUGCAGGAGGACUUCAUAUGCUGGUGGUGUACGAUUAAUAAAAAUGUUGAUGGGAUAAACUAUAUCCACUUCAAUGUACAGAGAUUAGGAAAUUGGACUCAGAGUGGGUUGGAAGCUGUGCAUGAGCAGCUCAAAGCUACCUCUUCAAGGACGUUCCAAAACCGCAUAGCUGUCGACACACUCCUCGCAAGAGAGGGAGGUGUUUGCGGUAUGUUUGGAGAACAAACAAUACUGCUUCAGAUGGCAGCUUGACCAGAGCCAUCGAUGGUCUACGGACCCUCAAUCAACACUCCUUGUGGGACAGCUGGAGGGGCGUUUUUGCCAUAACCCCAUGGAGAACCGUAUGGAGAUGAUGUAUCCAUUACUGUUUGAUGAUAAAGAUAAUGAUGAUGAUGAUGAUGAUUUUGCUUUAACUGAUUUGUUUCCUGAUUCAGAUGAUUACGAUGUUUAGACUACAAAAUUCAUGUAUGACAAAUUUACUCUGAGUAUAAAUGUAUUUGUUUCAUAAAAAUGAUUCUACAGUUAAAAAAUCGAAAUGAAGUGACUGUAAGAUGAUAUGAGAAUUUGUGCAAAUACAUGAUAAACAGGAGGGAAAUGUUAGAUAUAUUGUAGAAGUUAUCAUUUAUUUGCUUAGCUUGCAUUAGUAUUAUGGACAAUGUUUAGAAAGAAAGAUGUCUCGCCUUCAAGAAGAUGACUCAGCAGGAAUCAUCUGAGAGAAGGACGUGGCCGGGACGUGGCAGGUGCCAUGUUUUCACCUUGAAACCCUACCCUUAGUGUGUUGUGUCUUGUAGCUUAGUACGUUAUGUCUUGUAAACUUAGAAACCUCCCUAUUUUCAAAUAAAUGCAGGAGCGACGGGAGAGAUUGUUUAGAGCGUGUUGAGAGGCUGUAAUCUGAACAAUCUCCCAUGCGCCCUCCUCAUGAGUAAAAUGA